rnacentral:rRNA from 1 species
ACGAACGCUGGCGGCGUGCCUAAUACAUGCAAGUCGAGCGGAAUGAUGAAGAAGCUUGCUUCUUCUGAUUUUAGCGGCGGACGGGUGAGUAACACGUGGGCAACCUACCUCGUAGAUUGGGAUAACUCCGGGAAACCGGGGCUAAUACCGAAUAAUCCAUUUUGCUUCAUGGCGAGAUGUUAAAAGGCGGCUUCGGCUGUCACUACGAGAUGGGCCCGCGGCGCAUUAGCUAGUUGGUAGGGUAAUGGCCUACCAAGGCGACGAUGCGUAGCCGACCUGAGAGGGUGAUCGGCCACACUGGGACUGAGACACGGCCCAGACUCCUACGGGAGGCAGCAGUAGGGAAUCUUCCACAAUGGACGAAAGUCUGAUGGAGCAACGCCGCGUGAGUGAAGAAGGUUUUCGGAUCGUAAAACUCUGUUGUAAGGGAAGAACACGUACGAGAGUAACUGCUCGUACCUUGACGGUACCUUAUUAGAAAGCCACGGCUAACUACGUG